AAUUCUCAACUUUACCAGUUUUGUUUACGAAAUUGUGUGAAGCUUGGAUGUGGGGGUCUGCAGAAAUUCCCAUUCAUGGGGGUGUACUGCUCCUCUAAAAUAAAUUAGCGAGUUCAAACUGGGCUCCGUCUAUUGGUGUGAUAAUUAUCUACGCCGUGGAUUGGGCUUAGACUUGCUUCUAACCGUCUGCAAAGACAACUUUUGAACA
rnacentral:misc_RNA from 1 species